GGCCCGGUGGCGAGAGGUCUUUCACCUUCAAGAUUGUCAAAUGUGCUGCGGGCAUGCCUGGUUCGAUUCCAGGCUGGGUCA